GUUGACCUCGAAUCAGGUAGGAAUACCCGCUGAACUUAAGCAUAUCAAUAAGCGGAGGAAAAGAAACCAACAGGGAUUGCCCCAGUAACGGCGAGUGAAGCGGCAACAGCUCAAAUUUGAAAUCUGGCUCUCGGGCCCGAGUUGUAAUUUGUAGAGGAUGCUUUUGGUGAGGUGCCUUCCGAGUUCCCUGGAACGGGACGCCAUAGAGGGUGAGAGCCCCGUCUGGUUGGACACCGAUCCUCUGUAAAGCUCCUUCGACGAGUCGAGUAGUUUGGGAAUGCUGCUCUAAAUGGGAGGUAUAUGUCUUCUAAAGCUAAAUACCGGCCAGAGACCGAUAGCGCACAAGUAGAGUGAUCGAAAGAUGAAAAGAACUUUGAAAAGAGAGUUAAACAGUACGUGAAAUUGUUGAAAGGGAAGCGCUUGUGACCAGACUUGGGCUUGGUUGAUCAUCCGGGGUUCUCCCCGGUGCACUCUUCCGGCCCAGGCCAGCAUCAGUUCGCCCUGGGGGACAAAGGCUUCGGGAAUGUGGCUCUCUCCGGGGAGUGUUAUAGCCCGUUGCGUAAUACCCUGUGGCGGACUGAGGUUCGCGCAU
rnacentral:rRNA from 1 species